CUCUUAGAUGUCCUGGGCUGCACGCGCGCUACACUGAUGUGUCCAGUAAGCACCUAACCUCUUCCGAAAGGAACGGGUAACCUUUGCAAAGCACAUCGUGAUGGGGAUAGAUUAUUGCAAUUAUUAGUCUUGAACGAGGAAUUCCUAGUAAGCACAAGUCAUCAGCUUGUGUUGAUUACGUCCCUGCCCUUUGUACACACCGCCCGUCGCUCCUACCGAUUGAAUGUUCCGGUGAGCUCUUCGGACUGCGCGGUCUGCAGUUUCUGCGUUCCGUGCGGAAAGUUGCGCAAACCUUAACAUUUAGAGGAAGGAGAAGUCGUAACA
rnacentral:rRNA from 1 species